rnacentral:rRNA from 1 species
GCAUGCCUAACACAUGCAAGUCGAACGGCAGCACAGCAGUAGCAAUACUGUGGGUGGCGAGUGGCGGACGGGUGAGUAAUGCAUCGGGACCUACCUGAACGUGGGGGAUAACGUAGGGAAACUUACGCUAAUACCGCAUACGUCCUACGGGAGAAAGCGGGGGACCUUCGGGCCUCGCGCGGUCAGACGGACCGAUGUUCGAUUAGCUAGUUGGUAAGGUAACGGCUUACCAAGGCGACGAUCGAUAGCUGGUCUGAGAGGAUGAUCAGCCACACUGGAACUGAGACACGGUCCAGACUCCUACGGGAGGCAGCAGUGGGGAAUAUUGGACAAUGGGCGCAAGCCUGAUCCAGCAAUGCCGCGUGUGUGAAGAAGGCCUUCGGGUUGUAAAGCACUUUUAUCAGGAGCGAAAUACUACCGGUUAAUAACCGGUGGGGCUGACGGUACCUGAGGAAUAAGCACCGGCUAACUUCGUGCCAGCAGCCGCGGUAAUACGAAGGGUGCAAGCGUUAAUCGGAAUUACUGGGCGUAAAGGGUGCGUAGGCGGUUUGUUAAGUCUGUCGUGAAAUCCCCGGGCUCAACCUGGGAAUGGCGAUGGAUACUGGCAAGCUAGAGUGUGUCAGAGGAUGGUGGAAUUUCCGGUGUAGCGGUGAAAUGCGUAGAGAUCGGAAGGAACAUCAGUGGCGAAGGCGGCCAUCUGGGACAACACUGACGCUGAAGCACGAAAGCGUGGGGAGCAGACAGGAUUAGAUACCCCUGGUAGUCCACGCCCUAAACGAUGCGAACUGGAUGUUGGUCUCAACUCGGAGAUCAGUGUCGAAGCUAACGCCGUUAAGUUCGCCGCCUGGGGGAGUACGGUCGCAAGACUGA